UCUUGGCUAUUGUGGGGUAUUUUUUAUUGCAUAUGAAAUUUUGGAUUGCUAGCUCUAUUUUAUUAAAGGAUGAUGUUGGGAUAUUGAUGGAUAUUGCAUUGAAUUUGUAGACAGCCUUUGGCAGUAUUACCAUUUUCACUAUGUUAAUCCUCCCAAU